rnacentral:ncRNA from 2 species
GCAAGUUCUCAGGGCGGGGUGCAAUUCCCCACCGGCGGUAGAUGGGUCGAAAGCCCAAAGCCCGCGAGCGCCUUGUGGUUCACCCCACAGGGGUCAGCAGAUCCGGUGUAACUCCGGAGCCGACGGUAUAGUCCGGAUGAAAGAGAACGGGA